rnacentral:tRNA from 1 species
UGCAUCUGCCGGGAAUCGAACCCGGGCCGCCCGCGUGGCAGGUGAGCAUUCUACUACUGAACCACC